rnacentral:rRNA from 1 species
GAUGAACGCUGGCGGCGUGCCUAACACAUGCAAGUCGAACGGAGUCGUUUUGGAAAUCUCUUCGGAGAUGGAAUUCUCGACUUAGUGGCGGACGGGUGAGUAACGCGUGAGCAAUCUGCCUUUAAGAGGGGGAUAACAGUCGGAAACGGCUGCUAAUACCGCAUAAAGCAUUAAAUUCGCAUGUUUUUGAUGCCAAAGGAGCAAUCCGCUUUUAGAUGAGCUCGCGUCUGAUUAGCUAGUUGGCGGGGUAACGGCCCACCAAGGCGACGAUCAGUAGCCGGACUGAGAGGUUGAACGGCCACAUUGGGACUGAGACACGGCCCAGACUCCUACGGGAGGCAGCAGUGGGGAAUAUUGCGCAAUGGGGGAAACCCUGACGCAGCAACGCCGCGUGAUUGAAGAAGGCCUUCGGGUUGUAAAGAUCUUUAAUCAGGGACGAAACAAAUGACGGUACCUGAAGAAUAAGCUCCAGCUAACUACGUG